AUUGAACGCUGGCGGCAUGCUUUACACAUGCAAGUCGAACGGUAGAGGGGGCAACCCCUUGAGAGUGGCGAACGGGUGAGUAAUGCAUCGGAACGUGCCCAGUCGUGGGGGAUAACGCAGCGAAAGCUGUGCUAAUACCGCAUACGAUCUCUGGAUGAAAGCGGGGGACCGAAAGGCCUCGCGCGAUUGGAGCGGCAGAUGUCAGAGUAGGUAGUUGGUGGGGUAAAGGCUCACCAAGCCAACGAUCUGUAGCUGGUCUGAGAGGACGACCAGCCACACUGGGACUGAGACACGGCCCAGACUCCUACGGGAGGCAGCAGUGGGGAAUUUUGGACAAUGGGCGCAAGCCUGAUCCAGCAAUGCCGCGUGCAGGAAGAAGGCCUUCGGGUUGUAAACUGCUUUUGUACGGAACGAAAAGGUCUGGGUUAAUACCCUGGGCACAUGACGGUACCGUAAGAAUAAGCACCGGCUAACUACGUGCCAGCCGCCGCAGUAA
rnacentral:rRNA from 1 species